AAAGGUAUUUCUGAGCCAUGAGCAGUGGCACUAGAUGGAGAGGAGGGAGCACAGGUUCUGGGCAUUUCGACAAACAGACUUCAUGCACAUUUUUCUUCUACAGGAAGGAAGCUUUUGGGAACUUCCAGUUUCCACGGCCCCAGUCUUGAGACCAGAGGGGAGGAGGCGGAGUUCGUGGAGAAGAGAGGAAGGACAGCUACCUUUAACCAGAACCAACUCUUGGUUGAUGUCCAGAAACACAGAAAUGAACAGCAUCUGUUUGUCUAAAUAAAGCCUUUCUUUUCUCUA